AUGCUGGAGGUAUCAGAAGUGCGAAUGCUGACGUGAGUAACGACAAAACGGGUGAAAAACCCGUUCGCCGAAAGACCAAGGGUUCCAGUCCAACGUUAAUCGGGGCUGGGUGAGUCGACCCCUAAGGCGAGGCCGAAAGGCGUAGUCGAUGGGAAAUUGGUUAAUAUUCCAAUACUUCUGUGUAAUGCGAUGAGAGGACGGAGAAGGUUAAGUCAGCCUGGCGUUGGUUGUCCAGGUGGAAGGAUGUAGGUAUGUAUCUUAGGCAAAUCCGGGGUACUCUAUACUGAGAUCCGAUAGCAAGCUGUACUUGUACAGCGAAGUGGCUGAUACCAUGCUUCCAGGAAAAGUCUCUAAGCUUCAGUUACACAGGAAUCGUACCCGAAACCGACACAGGUGGUCAGGUCGAGUAGACCAAGGCGCUUGAGAGAACUCUGCUGAAGGAACUAGGCAAAAUGGUACCGUAACUUCGGGAGAAGGUACGCUGUUGUUGGUGAUGGAACUUGCUUCCUGAGCUGAUGACAGCCGCAGAAACCAGGCCGCUGCAACUGUUUAUUAAAAACAUAGCACUCUGCAAACACGAAAGUGGACGUAUAGGGUGUGAUGCCUGCCCGGUGCUGGAAGGUUAAUUGAUGGGGUUAGCGUAAGCGAAGCUCUUGAUCGAAGCCCCAGUAAACGGCGGCCGUAACUAUAACGGUCCUAAGGUAGCGAAAUUCCUUGUCGGGUAAGUUCCGACCUGCACGAAUGGCAUAAUGAUGGCGGCGCUGUCUCCAGCAGAGGCUCAGUGAAAUCGAAAUCGCUGUGAAGAUGCAGUGUACCCGCGGCUAGACGGAAAGACCCCGUGAACCUUUACUGCAGCUUGACACUGAACUUUGACCUUACUUGUGUAGGAUAGGUGGGAGGCUUUGAAGUUGGAACGCUAGUUCCAAUGGAGCCGUCCUUGAAAUACCACCCUGGUAAUGUUGAGGUUCUAACUCUGUCCCGUUAUCCGGGACGAGGACCGUGUCUGGUGGGUAGUUUGACUGGGGCGGUCUCCUCCUAAAGAGUAACGGAGGAGUACGAAGGUGCGCUCAGCGUGGUCGGAAAUCACGCGUAGAGUAUAAAGGCAAAAGCGCGCUUAACUGCGAGACCCACAAGUCGAGCAGGUACGAAAGUAGGUCUUAGUGAUCCGGUGGUUCUGUAUGGAAGGGCCAUCGCUCAACGGAUAAAAGGUACUCUGGGGAUAACAGGCUGAUACCGCCCAAGAGUUCAUAUCGACGGCGGUGUUUGGCACCUCGAUGUCGGCUCAUCUCAUCCUGGGGCUGAAGCAGGUCCCAAGGGUAUGGCUGUUCGCCAUUUAAAGAGGUACGCGAGCUGGGUUUAGAACGUCGUGAGACAGUUAGGUCCCUAUCUACCGUGGGCGCUGGAAAUUUGAGAGGAUCUGCUCCUAGUACGAGAGGACCAGAGUGGACGAACCUCUGGUGUACCGGUUGUGACGCCAGUCGCAUCGCCGGGUAGCUAUGUUCGGAAGGGAUAACCGCUGAAAGCAUCUAAGCGGGAAGCCUACCUCAAGAUAAGAUUUCCCUAGGAAUUUAUUCCUCUAAAGAGCCGUUCGAGACUAGGACGUUGAUAGGUUGGAUGUGGAAGCAUAGUGAUAUGUGAAGCUGACCAAUACUAAUUGCUCGUGAGGCUUGACUA
rnacentral:rRNA from 1 species